rnacentral:snRNA from 1 species
AAUCCCUAACAUUUCUGCAGAACGAGUAAAUCUUUCGCCUUUUACUAAAGAUUUCCGUGUAGAAUUGUUAAUAAUGUUGGGAAUAUAUUAAUUUUUGGAUUUUUCUUUUUAUUAAUAAAA